GCCUGGAUAACUCAGCCGGUAGAGCAUCAGACUUUUAAUCUGAGGGUCCAGGGUUCAAGUCCCUCUUCGGGCG
rfam:Danio rerio chromosome 4, GRCz11 reference primary assembly.